UAACCAAGAGAAAAAUGAAAACAUACAUUUAUACUCAAACUUGUACAGGAAUAUUUAUAGCAGCAUUAUUCAUGUAUUAGUCCAUUUUGCAUUGCUAUAGAAGAAUAUCUGAGAUGGUAAUUUAUAAAGAAGUUUAUUUGGCUCACAGUUCUGCAGGCUGUACAAGCAUGGUACUGACAUCUGCUUGGCUCCUGGGAAGGCCUUAGGAAGCUUUUACUCAUGACAGAAGGUGAACAAGGAGCAGGCAUGUCACAUGACGAGAGAGGGCAGAACAGAUAGGGCAGGAGUUCCCAACAACCAGCUUUCAAGUGAACUAAUAUAGAGCAAGAACUCACUCAUUACAAGGAUGGCACCAAGCCAUUUAUGACAGAUGUUCCUAUGAUCCAAACACUUCCUAACAGGCCCCAUUCUCCAACACUGGUGAUCCUAUUUCAUGAGAUUUGGAGGGGACAAAAUAUCCAAACUGUAUCAGUUCAUAUUAUCCAGAAGGUGGAAACAAUCCACAUGUCCAUCAAUGGAUGAAUGGAUAAACAAAAUGUGGCACAAACUAUAAUGGAAUAUUAUUCAGCCAAAUAAAGGAAUGAAUACUCAUACAUGCGACAUGAAUGAAACAUGAAAACAAUAUGCUAAGUAAAUGAAGCCAGUCACAAAACACCAAAAUAUCACAUCAGUAUAUGAGGCUUAGAAAAUGUGCAAAUUGUGGUGAUGGUUGCAUGUAUCUGCAAAGAGACUAAAAACCACUGAAUUAUACAUUUUUGUUUUCGAGAUGGGGUCUCACUCUGUCGCCCAGGCUGGACUGCAGUGGUGCUAUCAUGGUUCACUGCAGGCUUGACUUCCCAGGCUUAAGUGAUCCUCCUACCUCAGCCUCCUGGGUUGCUGGGACGACAGGUGCGUGCCACUGCGGCUAAUUCUUGUAUUUUAAAAAAUAGAGACAGGGUUUUGCCUGUUGCCCAGGGUGGUCUUGAACUCCUGGGCUCAAGAUCUGAGGGCCUUGGCCUCCCAAACUGCUGGGAUUACAGACGUGAGCCACCACACCUGGCCUAAUUAUACAUUUUAAAUGGGUGAAGUGUAUGGCAUGUGAAUUAUAUUUUAAUGAAGUGGUCAUAAAUAACAAAAUAAAAAGCAUAUUGAUUUGAAAGGAUAAAUACAUUCCUGUUUUCAGGACAUAAAUAUCUACAUAGGAAAUCCAAAGGAAUUUUAAAAAUGCAUAAAGUUUAGCAAGAUCACAUAAAAAUCAAUCCCAUUUCUAUAUGCUAACAAUCAAUGUGUGAAUGCCAAAAUUAAGCACUACACCACUUACAAUUGCUCCAAAAUCAUGACUUAGGGGUGUGUGUGUAUAUACGUGUAUAUAUACAUAUAUACACACAUAUAUACUUAUAUACACAUGUACAUAUAUAUACACACACACACACACACAUAUAUAUUUUUUGAGACAGAGUCUUGCUCUGUUACCCAGGCUGGAGUGCAGUGGCACAAUCUUAACUCACUGCAGCCUCCACCUCCCGGGUUCAAGUGAUUCACCUGCCUCAGCCUCCUGAGUAGCUGGGAUUACAGGUGCCUGUCAUCAUGCCCGACUAAUUUUUAUAUUUUUAGUAGAGACAGGGUUUCACAAUGUUGGCCAGGUUGGUCUUGAAUUCCUGGCCUCAGGCGAUUCGCCCGCCCCAGCCUCCCUAAGUGCUGGGAUUACAGGCGUGAUCCCACCACACCUGGCCGACUUAGGUAAUAUAAAACAAAAACUACAGGCUGGGUGUGCCUGAUGGUGCCCAGUGAAGCCAGCACAAACUACCCCAAUGCUUGGGUGAGUGGCCAAGCAUCAGAGCAGUGACUAGACUUUUUCUUUUUGGGGAAACAGCCUAGGGUUGGGAGCCUACAGUGCUGAGGGCUGUGGGCCUCUCCAUCUCAGCUCCACCCCACUGUCCUACUCUCUGUUCUGUAUGGCUGGAGGGAAGAAGCUGGGAGAGACAGGCAGGUAACAACCCAGGUCUGUCCCUAAAGCAGCCCUCUUGGGCUGGGCGUGGCGGGGGAGUGCACAGGGCAGACUGGAGAACCACGCCCUGCUCAACAAAGCAGACAGACAAGUGCUGACAGUGCAGAGGGUGACCAAGCCUGGGAAGGCCCCAGGGGUCCAACACCAAAAUUAAAGGUUUAUUAUACAC
rnacentral:lncRNA from 10 species